AUUGCCUCAGGCCUUCUGAUGAUGUCCUGGGUAAACUCAGCCUGGCAGCCGACAUGGAAGAAGUGGGCAUGGAUUCCCCAGAGAAUUUCAACCCAGACUGACUGAUGGAAGGGCAGAGACACAGAAAGUGCUUCUCAGAAGGCAGCUCAAUAUGGCGGCUGGUGUUGCUCCUACAAAUGCACCUCCUUGUAUCCUGAAGCCUUGGAGGCCAUUGUCACAGUUCAGGACAGUGACCCAUCCCUUCCCAAAUCAGCCAGAAUUAAAUGGCCUGAAAUCUUCGAGGCCCCAGGAACAUA